CAGUCGCCACGGUAAUACGUAGGUGGCAAGCGUUGUCCGGAAUUAUUGGGCGUAAAGGGCUCGCAGGCGGUUUCUUAAGUCUGAUGUGAAAGCCCCCGGCUCAACCGGGGAGGGUCAUUGGAAACUGGGAAACUUGAGUGCAGAAGAGGAGAGUGGAAUUCCACGUGUAGCGGUGAAAUGCGUAGAGAUGUGGAGGAACACCAGUGGCGAAGGCGACUCUCUGGUCUGUAACUGACGCUGAGGAGCGAAAGCGUAGGGAGCGAACAGGAUUAGAUACCCCCGUAGUCCCUGUCUCUUAUAC
rnacentral:rRNA from 1 species